AUGGGGCCCAUCAGUUGUGUAGGUUAACGCAACUCUGCAGCGAGGGGAGAGCGUUACGGCGCGACGUUUGAGGCACACACACACACACGCUGCAGCAGCAGCUUUGGAUGGAAAAAGCAAGGGAAGCCCAACGCUGUUAAAAGUAGAGAGGGGGGGGGGAAGGGAUGACGCAAGGAAGGCAAAGGAGUACAGGAGGGAGGCCGCGGAAGGUGAGAGGACCAGCACUGGGCAAUAGGAAACGGCUCGAGCCAACCUUUCGCAGCAUCUCUUGCACAGUAUGUUCCUGGCACAGCGCAAAGCGCGGCUGUUGAACGCCUGAGUUCCAAGAAGCGAACGAACUCGCUGCUAUAUUUCUGCCGAUUACCUUUGUCUGUUUUCAUUUCCUGCCUAUUUUUCACAUGCCUUCUGUUUUGUUGUUGUGGAACCACGUCGUACGCAGUUGAAUUUAUACAAAAAAAUGUUCGAAGCGUGUUUGGAAGCGCUGCAUCGCGCCGAUUGUUCAUGUUUGGGAACCAGGAAGAAGGUUGUAUAUCCACGAGCGGAUGUUUGGAUAGUUUCCGAAUUUCAGCAACUUCACUUUUUGAAUUGUUUCCGUAUGGAGUGUACAAACAAUUGUACAAACAAGUACAAGUUGAAACGACUUGUUCUUGUAUAAAUCAGAUCAGCAUCUGAAUAAACCGGCAAGUUGUUUGGUAAAUACGGUUGCUGUUGCAACCGCCCUAGCUUUGAGGUAUUUUAUCUUGCACGAGAUGUCCUGAGUAACGGUAGUUGACUGGUGAAAUGGCUUUACGCUGAAGGGCUUUCAAAGCCAGAAGUUCUCCCUUCUGUUUCGGGUGUUACGGACAACCGAAGGUGCGGCGAAGGAAAUGAAAGUGGUGUUAAUUUCUAAACAGGCCGAAGGACGUGAAAGUGAUGUUUGAAGUUAUUACUCCCCGCCGGUUAUGUGCUUGGGGGAGAUCUAUCCUUACCAUCUCCUGCCACCCAACUUUUCCAGCGGCAGAGGCAGUUAAAUGGAUAGUCAGAUAGGGUUGUGAUGCAAAUUGACCCGUGGGUCGUUUUAUGCGCUGCAUUACGACUUUUUGCUGUACUGUAUGUACAUCUCGAAUGGCUGUUCAUCUCGCCCGUUGGAGGUCCUUCCUUUCCCCCCAUU
rnacentral:lncRNA from 1 species